UGCAGUAGAACGCUGAAGAGAGGAGCUUGCUCUUCUUGGAUGAGUUGCGAACGGGUGAGUAACGCGUAGGUAACCUGCCUUGUAGCGGGGGAUAACUAUUGGAAACGAUAGCUAAUACCGCAUAACAAUGGAUGACACAUGUCAUUUAUUUGAAAGGGGCAAUUGCUCCACUACAAGAUGGACCUGCGUUGUAUUAGCUAGUAGGUGAGGUAACGGCUCACCUAGGCGACGAUACAUAGCCGACCUGAGAGGGUGAUCGGCCACACUGGGACUGAGACACGGCCCAGACUCCUACGGGAGGCAGCAGUAGGGAAUCUUCGGCAAUGGGGGCAACCCUGACCGAGCAACGCCGCGUGAGUGAAGAAGGUUUUCGGAUCGUAAAGCUCUGUUGUAAGUCAAGAACGAGUGUGAGAGUGGAAAGUUCACACUGUGACGGUAGCUUACCAGAAAGGGACGGCUAACUACGUGCCAGCAGCCGCGGUAAUACGUAGGUCCCGAGCGUUGUCCGGAUUUAUUGGGCGUAAAGCGAGCGCAGGCGGUUUGAUAAGUCUGAAGUUAAAGGCUGUGGCUCAACCAUAGUUCGCUUUGGAAACUGUCAAACUUGAGUGCAGAAGGGGAGAGUGGAAUUCCAUGUGUAGCGGUGAAAUGCGUAGAUAUAUGGAGGAACACCGGUGGCGAAAGCGGCUCUCUGGUCUGUAACUGACGCUGAGGCUCGAAAGCGUGGGGAGCGAACAGGAUUAGAUACCCUGGUAGUCCACGCCGUAAACGAUGAGUGCUAGGUGUUGGAUCCUUUCCGGGAUUCAGUGCCGCAGCUAACGCAUUAAGCACUCCGCCUGGGGAGUACGACCGCAAGGUUGAAACUCAAAGGAAUUGACGGGGGCCCGCACAAGCGGUGGAGCAUGUGGUUUAAUUCGAAGCAACGCGAAGAACCUUACCAGGUCUUGACAUCCCGAUGCUAUUUCUAGAGAUAGAAAGUUACUUCGGUACAUCGGUGACAGGUGGUGCAUGGUUGUCGUCAGCUCGUGUCGUGAGAUGUUGGGUUAAGUCCCGCAACGAGCGCAACCCCUAUUGUUAGUUGCCAUCAUUCAGUUGGGCACUCUAGCGAGACUGCCGGUAAUAAACCGGAGGAAGGUGGGGAUGACGUCAAAUCAUCAUGCCCCUUAUGACCUGGGCUACACACGUGCUACAAUGGUUGGUACAACGAGUUGCGAGUCGGUGACGGCAAGCUAAUCUCUUAAAGCCAAUCUCAGUUCGGAUUGUAGGCUGCAACUCGCCUACAUGAAGUCGGAAUCGCUAGUAAUCGCGGAUCAGCACGCCGCGGUGAAUACGUUCCCGGGCCUUGUACACACCGCCCGUCACACCACGAGAGUUUGUAACACCCGAAGUCGGUGAGGUAACCUUUUGGAGCCAGCC
rnacentral:rRNA from 1 species